UCUCAGCUGCUUCAUUUAUGAAGCAAUGAAGUAGCUUGGAACUACACGUCAUUUCACUAUGACAGUAUAACUGUUAUAAAAUACAAUCACAACACCUAUUGCGUGAAGUGGUGGUGGUCUUUCAAGAAGGUGAAAUGGCUACUUAUG
rnacentral:sRNA from 12 species